AGUCUAGCAUGUGCGCGAGUCAUUGGGACUCAAUAAACCUAAAGGCGAAAUGAAAGUGAAAGUCUGUUUACGCGGACUUAGGGAAGAUAGGUGCGUACAUAUGUACAACCUCGCACUCCCGGGGCGUCUCGCACUCAGUGCGAGGUGGGGCGCACCAAGAGCGUACACGCUGGGACCCGAAAGAUGGUGAACUAUGCCUGGUCAGGACGAAGUCAGGGGAAACCCUGAUGGAGGUCCGUAGCGAUUCUGACGUGCAAAUCGAUCGUCGGAACUGGGCUUAGGGGCGAAAGACUAAUCGAACCAUCUAGUAGCUGGUUCCCACCGAAGUUUCCCUCAGGAUAGCUGGCACUAGAUUAUGGAUGAGUCUCAUCCGGUAAAGCGAAUGAUUAGAGGCAUUGGGGUCGAAACGGCCUCAACCUAUUCUCAAACUUUAAAUGGGUGAGAUCUCCGGCUUGCUUGAUUUGUGAAGCCGGAGAUCGGAUCAAUUAGUGCCAAGUGGGCCACUUUUGGUAAGCAGAACUGGCGCUGUGGGAUGAACCAAACGCAGUGUUAAAGCGCCAAAAUCGACGCUUAUGGGAUACCAUGAAAGGCGUUGGUAACUUAAGACAGCAGGACGGUGGCCAUGGAAGUCGGAA
rnacentral:rRNA from 1 species